UGUGUGUGUGCGUGUGUGUGUGUGUGUGUGUGUGUGUGUGUGUGUGCACACCGGGUGCAAGCUUGCACAUGCACACGCUCCCACUCCC
rnacentral:pre_miRNA from 1 species